UUACGACCAUAUCAUCUUGAAUCAUCCUUUCUCGUAGGAUCACCGAAGUUAAGCAACGUCCAGGUCUGGUCAGUACCUAAAUGGUUGACUGCUUGUGAAUACCAGGUGCUGUAAG